GACGAACGUUGGCGGCGUGCUUAACACAUGCAAGUCGAACGGAAAGGCCCUGCUUUUGUGGGGUGCUCGAGUGGCGAACGGGUGAGUAACACGUGAGUAACCUGCCCUUGACUUUGGGAUAACUUCAGGAAACUGGGGCUAAUACCGGAUAGGAGCUCCUGCUGCAUGGUGGGGGUUGGAAAGUUUCGGCGGUUGGGGAUGGACUCGCGGCUUAUCAGCUUGUUGGUGGGGUAGUGGCUUACCAAGGCUUUGACGGGUAGCCGGCCUGAGAGGGUGACCGGCCACAUUGGGACUGAGAUACGGCCCAGACUCCUACGGGAGGCAGCAGUGGGGAAUAUUGCACAAUGGGCGGAAGCCUGAUGCAGCAACGCCGCGUGCGGGAUGACGGCCUUCGGGUUGUAAACCGCUUUCGCCUGUGACGAAGCGUGAGUGACGGUAAUGGGUAAAGAAGCACCGGCUAACUACGUGCCAGCAGCCGCGGUGAUACGUAAGGUGCGAGCGUUGUCCGGAUUUAUUGGGCGUAAAGGGCUCGUAGGUGGUUGAUCGCGUCGGAAGUGUAAUCUUGGGGCUUAACCCUGAGCGUGCUUUCGAUACGGGUUGACUUGAGGAAGGUAGGGGAGAAUGGAAUUCCUGGUGGAGCGGUGGAAUGCGCAGAUAUCAGGAGGAACACCAGUGGCGAAGGCGGUUCUCUGGGCCUUUCCUGACGCUGAGGAGCGAAAGCGUGGGGAGCGAACAGGCUUAGAUACCCUGGUAGUCCACGCUGUAAACGGUGGGUACUAGGUGUGGGGUCCAUUCCACGGGUUCCGUGCCGUAGCUAACGCUUUAAGUACCCCGCCUGGGGAGUACGGCCGCAAGGCUAAAACUCAAAGGAAUUGACGGGGCCCCGCACAAGCGGCGGAGCAUGCGGAUUAAUUCGAUGCAACGCGUAGAACCUUACCUGGGUUUGACAUGGAUCGGGAGUGCUCAGAGAUGGGUGUGCCUCUUUUGGGGUCGGUUCACAGGUGGUGCAUGGCUGUCGUCAGCUCGUGUCGUGAGAUGUUGGGUUAAGUCCCGCAACGAGCGCAACCCUUGUUCACUGUUGCCAGCACGUUAUGGUGGGGACUCAGUGGAGACCGCCGGGGUCAACUCGGAGGAAGGUGGGGAUGACGUCAAGUCAUCAUGCCCCUUAUGUCCAGGGCUUCACGCAUGCUACAAUGGCUGGUACAGAGAGUGGCGAGCCUGUGAGGGUGAGCGAAUCUCGGAAAGCCGGUCUCAGUUCGGAUUGGGGUCUGCAACUCGACCUCAUGAAGUCGGAGUCGCUAGUAAUCGCAGAUCAGCAACGCUGCGGUGAAUACGUUCCCGGG
rnacentral:rRNA from 1 species